UUUGCUGGUCAAAUAAAACACGCCUAUUAAUAGAAUCAGUAUAACAUAAUUUAUUACUAAUGCAUUUUAAGAUAUAACGAUUACGUAUGCGAUAAGUAAAAUUAUUGAUUAUAACGAUAAAAAAAUUUAACAAUAUGAAUUGCCAUGGAAAUGUGUUAUUUAUACCAUAAAACUCACUGUGUGGCAGUGUCAGUGGCACUACAUUUAUAUAUGUACUAGCAAAUACCCGGCGUACUUUGUUACGCCGCAAAAACUGAAACGAUUAGGGAAUUGGAAAGAAUUUAAUGUAGUUUAAAAUGCAAAUAAAAGAAUACCUUUAUUCGUACAUGUAAACACACAUACAUGAGUAUAAUGUGUAACUUAUGUUAGACUUGCAAAUAUUUACUACCCAUAUUUGAAUUAAUUGCAAAUACUUUUAAAUUCAUUAACGUUAUAAAUAAUUUGUUUAUUAAAUUCUUUUUUACAGAAAAAUUAAAAAUAGAUAACAACAAAAAAGGCAUCAGAUGGAAUUCAAAAUAGCGUUAUAUUGGAAGAAGGCGUGGUUGUAAACCGAUUUCACCCAUAUUUCGUGCAUGUCAUCAGG